AGAGUUUGAUCAUGGCUCAGAACGAACGCUGGCGGCAGGCCUAACACAUGCAAGUCGAGCGAACCUUCGGGUUAGCGGCGGACGGGUUAGUAACGCGUGGGAAUAUGCCCAAAGGUACGGAAUAGCCUCGGGAAACUGAGAGUAAUACCGUAUGUGCCCUUCGGGGGAAAGAUUUAUCGCCUUUGGAUUAGCCCGCGUUGGAUUAGGUAGUUGGUGGGGUAAUGGCCUACCAAGCCGACGAUCCAUAGCUGGUUUGAGAGGAUGAUCAGCAACACUGGGACUGAGACACGGCCCAGACUCCUACGGGAGGCAGCAGUGGGGAAUCUUAGACAAUGGGGGAAACCCUGAUCUAGCCAUGCCGCGUGGACGAUGAAGGCCCUAGGGUUGUAAAGUCCUUUCAGAUGGGAAGAUAAUGACGGUACCAUCAGAAGAAGCCCCGGCUAACUCCGUGCCAGCAGCCGCGGUAAUACGGAGGGGGCUAGCGUUGUUCGGAAUUACUGGGCGUAAAGCGCACGUAGGCGGACUUUUAAGUCGGGGGUGAAAUCCCGGGGCUCAACCCCGGAACUGCCUUCGAUACUGGAAGUCUGGAGUUCGAGAGAGGUGAGUGGAAUUCCGAGUGUAGAGGUGAAAUUCGUAGAUAUUCGGAGGAACACCAGUGGCGAAGGC
rnacentral:rRNA from 1 species